CACGUAGGGGGCGAGCGUUGUCCGGAUUUAUUGGGCGUAAAGAGCUCGUAGGUGGCGUGUCGCGUCUGCCGUGAAAGCCCAUGGCUUAACUGUGGGUCUGCGGUGGAUACGGGCAGGCUGGAGGCUGGUAGGGGCAAGCGGAAUUCCUGGUGUAGCGGUGAAAUGCGCAGAUAUCAGGAGGAACACCGGUGGCGAAGGCGGCUUGCUGGGCCAGUUCUGACGCUGAGGAGCGAAAGCGUGGGGAGCGAACAGG
rnacentral:rRNA from 1 species